GAUGAACGCUGGCGGCGUGCCUAAUACAUGCAAGUCGAGCGAAUGGAUUAAGAGCUUGCUCUUAUGAAGUUAGCGGCGGACGGGUGAGUAACACGUGGGUAACCUGCCCAUAAGACUGGGAUAACUCCGGGAAACCGGGGCUAAUACCGGAUAACAUUUUGAACCGCAGGGUUCGCAAUUGAACGGCGGCUUCGGCUGUCACUUAUGGAUGGACCCGCGUCGCAUUAGCUAGGUGGUGAGGUAACGGCUCACCAAGGCAACGAUGCGUAGCCGACCUGAGAGGGUGAUCGGCCACACUGGGACUGAGACACGGCCCAGACUCCUACGGGAGGCAGCAGUAGGGAAUCUUCCGCAAUGGACGAAAGUCUGACGGAGCAACGCCGCGUGAGUGAUGAAGGCUUUCGGGUCGUAAAACUCUGUUGUUAGGGAAGAACAAGUGCUAGUUGAAUAAGCUGGCACCUUGACGGUACCUAACCAGAAAGCCACGGCUAACUACGUGCCAGCAGCCGCAGUAA
rnacentral:rRNA from 1 species